rnacentral:rRNA from 1 species
GGUACUCGAGUGGCGAACGGGUGAGUGACACGUGGGUGAUCUGCCUUGCACUUCGGGAUAAGCUUGGGAAACUGGGUCUAAUACCGGAUAGGACAGCUGUUUAGUGUCAGUUGUGGAAAGUUUUUUCGGUGCAAGAUGAGCUCGCGGCCUAUCAGCUUGUUGAUGGGGUAAUGGCCUACCAAGGCGUCGACGGGUAGCCGGCCUGAGAGGGUGUACGGCCACAUUGGGACUGAGAUACGGCCCAGACUCCUACGGGAGGCAGCAGUGGGGAAUAUUGCACAAUGGGCGGAAGCCUGAUGCAGCGACGCCGCGUGGGGGAUGAAGGCCUUCGGGUUGUAAACUCCUUUCGACAGGGACGAAGCGUAAGUGACGGUACCUGUAUAAGAAGCACCGGCUAACUACGUGCCAGCAGCCGCGGUAAUACGUAGGGUGCGAGCGUUGUCCGGAAUUACUGGGCGUAAAGAGCUCGUAGGUGGUUUGUCGCGUCGUCUGUGAAAUUCCGGGGCUUAACUCCGGGCGUGCAGGCGAUACGGGCUGACUUGAGUGCUGUAGGGGAGACUGGAAUUCCUGGUGUAGCGGUGAAAUGCGCAGAUAUCAGGAGGAACACCGAUGGCGAAGGCAGGUCUCUGGGCAGUAACUGACGCUGAGGAGCGAAAGCAUGGGUAGCGAACAGGAUUAGAUACCCUGGUAGUCCAUGCCGUAAACGGUGGGCGCUAGGUGUAGGGGGCUUCCACGUCUUCUGUGCCGUAGCUAACGCAUUAAGCGCCCCGCCUGGGAGUACG